CCCUAAUGCGCAUCUGUAACAAAGAGGACAGCAUAACCUGCAUAGGGAGACUGUGGAUUACUAUUCAGUUCGGGACAUUGGAAGCAUUCACCAUACGAAUGCUUGCUACCAAAUAACAGGCCACCUUGAUUCCUAAUUAUGACCCAUUUACCUCCUUGCUCUAUGGGGAUUUUCGUACAAAGAAACGCACAAACGCUAUACGAACUGUAUGGGUGGCCGCCAUUUCGGGACUUCCACGUGUUCGCGGCCAUUAUAACUCCUGAACAGCUGUGUUUUGCCGUCGAGUGUCUGGAACUAAAAACGGUCACUCGAAUAGGUGAACACCGCUGAGACCUCCAUAACUUCGGAAAAUCAUUCUACAACUACCGAACGACAGGGCGUUCGGUAGAAAGACUUAAGACUUAUGGGGAUUGCAGUGAACGUGAG